UUAAAAAUGAGAUUUUUCAUUAUGUGGUCAAGUUGGCAUCCAUUGUAUUUGUUCUUAUUAUAAAAAAAUAUGAAGUUUUUCAUUAUAUGGCAAAUUAGCACCCUUCGAUGGACGUCAAUCAUUAGAGUUGUUCUUAUGAUACGUGAAAAGAAUACAAAUAUUUGUGUGCUUCUGAUAAAGAGCUAACAAGAAUAUUUGCAGACAACAAUCUUGUGAUUCCAUGGUACUGCAGAUAACACAGUAUUGUUCGAAGCUGGACAAGCAGGUUCCAUUGCUUGAUCAGGCUGGAAUGAGCUGGAGUUCAAGAUGCACUAAACAUUUGGAAAUAUACGGCAAACGAGGGCUCCAGUAUUUAGAAUCAUGAAUGAAGCCUCCGUGUAGGGUAAAAUCUGCGUACAUUUCUGAGCAAGGCUAUGGUGGAUUGAUCUAUGGACUUGGCCAACUGACAAUCAAACGAAUUUUCGUAUGUGAGACUACAUUUGUUCUAAGGGUCAGGCAUUUACAGGUAGAGACGAGGACGAUGACUUUAUGGGAAUGCAAAUUUUCAAGCGUUCCAGUAUGGCUUUUCCGCUGACAAGCCCUGUGUGAAGAGUCAAUGGAAGUCCUUCCUUGACACACUCGUCGUAUUUCUCCAGAGCAGAUACGAUGGCGCUGAAAUCUGGGCGUUUGGCUGGAUUUGCAGCCCAGCAGUGCUUUAUCAGAUGUGCAAGCGCGGGUAGACAGCUUGGUGGCAUUGGGGGUCGCUCGUUCUGCAGAAUUUGUAAAAUGUAGUAGGAAAGUAAGCAUCAAGAUUCAAUAGUUCUGAUUAUUAUUAUUUUUAUUUUUUUGAGAA